UUGUGAGACAAGCUUUGACCAAAAGACAAUUAAGCCUUUAUCUCUUGAACCGUUGGUCCUAAGCUAAGAAAGAACUCAUUUCCUUUUUCCUUCAAAACCUCACCAACGCCUUCUCCUUUUUCCCCUCUUCUUCUUCUUCUCAUCUUCAAGUGUAAGGAAAAACCAUAGCUUCAUGUCCACCCUUCAAGCCGUGUGACUCACAAAAAAAGAAAGAAAAUUUUUCUUCCUUCCCCAAGCCAUAGCAAACGCCAUUUUCCUUCUCUUCUUCUCCUCUUCAAGAAAUCAAGUUCCUCUCAUUUUUCUUCAAGUUUUGGACCUCCACUUUACCUCUUGAAAGAAGUUAAGAGCUUAAGGUAAUGACGAAAAGGCUGGGAAGCAGGGCAUUACUGGAGAGGGAGAGGCAGACGUUUAGUGUCUUUUCUGUUGGUUCAACCUUACAUGGAUAAUGGUCUAUGGAUGUUGUUUUUAUGUUGGGAUGGGUCCCUUGUAGGGACAUUUUGUUGUGUUUGACUUUAAAUCAUGUAUCUUUUGGUAUAGUAUAACCAUUAUGGUGGGGUCAUGGUAAACCUUUAUAUAUUGACUUAAUGUCUUCUUGUACAUGGUAGAGAUGAAGUCUCUUUCUAACUAGAAUAAUUAUGUUUUUAUGAAAGGAUGAUAGACUUUGAGAGUCUGUUUUAUGGAGGAAUGUUAAAUAGAACUUUUAUCA